UCUCCAGCUGUUUUUGGACUACAACUCCCAUCAUCCCUAACUAGCAGGACCAAUGGGGAGGGAUGAUGGGAACUGUAGUCCAGGAACUGCUGGGGA